rnacentral:rRNA from 1 species
GUGGGGAAUAUUGGACAAUGGGCGAAAGCCUGAUCCAGCCAUGCCGCGUGUGUGAAGAAGGUCUUCGGAUUGUAAAGCACUUUAAGUUGGGAGGAAGGGUAGUAACCUAAUACGUUGCUACUUUGACGUUACCGACAGAAUACGCACCGGCUAACUUCGUGCCAGCAGCCGCGGUAAUACGAAGGGUGCAAGCGUUAAUCGGAAUUACUGGGCGUAAAGCGCGCGUAGGUGGUUCAGUAAGUUGGAAGUGAAAUCCCCGGGCUCAGCCUGGGAACUGCUUUCAAAACUGCUGAGAUAGAGUACGGUAGAGGGUGGUGGAAUUUCCUGUGUAGCGGUGAAAUGCGUAGAUAUAGGAAGGAACACCAGUGGCGAAGGCGACCACCUGGACUGGUACUGACGCUGGGGUGCGAAAGCGUGGGGAGCAAACAGGAUUAGAUACCCCAGUAGUCC